CAGCAGCCCGGUAAUACGAAGGGUGCAAGCGUUAAUCGGAAUUACUGGGCGUAAAGCGUGCGUAGGCGGUGAGUUAAGUCUGCUGUGAAAUCCCCGGGCUCAACCUGGGAAUGGCAGUGGAUACUGGCUCGCUAGAGUGUGUCAGAGGAUGGUGGAAUUCCCGGUGUAGCGGUGAAAUGCGUAGAGAUCGGGAGGAACAUCAGUGGCGAAGGCGGCCAUCUGGGACAACACUGACGCUGAGGCACGAAAGCGUGGGGAGCAAACAGGAUUAGAUACCCCAGUAGUCCCUGUCUCUUAUACA
rnacentral:rRNA from 1 species